GACGAACGCUGGCGGCGUGCCUAACACAUGCAAGUCGAACGGAAACGCCCUGCUUGUGUGCGCUGCUGGAGGGGCGAAGGGGUAAGUAACACGUAAGUAACCUGCCCUUCACUUUGGGAUAACUUCAGGAAGCUGAGGCUACUACCGGAUAGGAGCUCCCGCUGCAGGGUGGGGGUGGGAAAGUUUCGGCGGUUGGGGAUGGACGCGCGGCUGAUGGGCUAGUUGGUGGGGGAGUGGUUUACCAAGGCUUUGGCGGGUAGCCCGCCUGAGAGGGUGACCGGCCACAAGAGGCCUGAGAUACGGCCCAGACUCCAACGGUAGGCAGCAGGGGGGAGUAUUGUACAAGGGGCGGGAGCCUGAUGCGGCAGCGCCGCGUGCGGGAUGACGUCCUGCGGGUAGUGAACCGCAGUCGCCUGUGACGAAGCGUUAGUGACGGUACUGGGUGAAUAAGCACCGGCUAACUACGUG
rnacentral:rRNA from 1 species